rnacentral:rRNA from 1 species
UACGGAGGGUGCAAGCGUUAUCCGGAUUCACUGGGUUUAAAGGGUGCGUAGGUGGGCAGGUAAGUCAGUGGUGAAAUCUCCUGGGCUUAACCCGGAACUGCCGUUGAUACUAUCUGUCUUGAAUAUAGUGGAGGUGAGCGGAAUAUGUCAUGUAGCGGUGAAAUGCUUAGAUAUGACAUAGAACAUCGAUUGCGAAGGCAGCUCGCUACACUAUGAUUGACACCUGAGGCACGAAAGCGUGGGGAUCAAACAGG